GUCCCCGUAGCUCAAUUGGAUAGAGCAAGCAUCCGCUAAAUGCGAGGUUGUGGGUUCAAGUCCCACCGGGGACG
rnacentral:tRNA from 1 species